rnacentral:rRNA from 1 species
UGGGGAAUUUUGGACAAUGGGCGAAAGCCUGAUCCAGCAAUGCCGCGUGUGUGAAGAAGGCCUUCGGGUUGUAAAGCACUUUUGUCCGGAAAGAAAUCCUUGGCUCUAAUACAGUCGGGGGAUGACGGUACCGGAAGAAUAAGCACCGGCUAACUACGUGCCAGCAGCCGCGGUAAUACGUAGGGUGCAAGCGUUAAUCGGAAUUACUGGGCGUAAAGCGUGCGCAGGCGGUUUGCUAAGACCGAUGUGAAAUCCCCGGGCUCAACCUGGGAACUGCAUUGGUGACUGGCAGGCUAGAGUAUGGCAGAGGGGGGUAGAAUUCCACGUGUAGCAGUGAAAUGCGUAGAGAUGUGGAGGAAUACCGAUGGCGAAGGCAGCCCCCUGGGCCAAUACUGACGCUCAUGCACGAAAGCGUGGGGAGCAAAACAGGAUUAGAUACCCUGGUAGUCCACGCCCUAAACGAUGUCAACUAGUUGUUGGGGACUCAUUUCCUUAGUAACGUAGCUAACGCGUGAAGUUGACCGCCUGGGGAGUACGGUCGCAAGAUUAAAACUCAAAUGAAUUGACGGGGUCAUAGCUGUUUCCU